GGCUGAGACAAUAGUUUUCUGACACACAUCAGGCAGAUGCACAGACUGAAGAGAAACAUCAUAUAACAGGAUGCAGACUUUGUUGGAUUCCCACUUAAACGUUAAUGGAAGUUAAUACACGGGCAAAAAAUGGCAGACAAACUGACUAGUGACAAACAUGAAGGCGGCUAAUCUUUGGCGAGGGGCUCGGUCUUGCGUCCAACAAAUCGUAUCAUUAUGAUAAAUGUGAUCUCCAAGAAAUUUCAAAGUCAUCAAAAACGAACAGACAGUACCAACACACGCAAGCAAGUGAACACAAAGUGUGGCAUUGAACGUUGUGAUAAGGACAAGUUUAUUACACUCGCCACAGUGUUCCAGGAUGGCGAAAUUUCUUUCAAUUCAAAAUUAAUUCGAAUUUAUUUUAGAAAUAUUUCUUAUUUGGACCAAUGAUCUGGCAGUUAGGCAUUGAUCUUUGUAAAGUAUUUUAAAAUGCAUUUUAUUUUUAGCAUAGUUUUUUGUAUAUUUAUUCAUGAUUACAUAUUUUUUAAAUCAUGCCACUCCUUCUAUGUUAAACAUGCUUUGUGAUUAUUGUAUAACUCUGUUGUUCGAAUCUUCGAUAUCGGAGAAAAUAAAAAAUAUAUAUGGUCAUUAACAGUUUCAUGAUCAAUUAAGAAUUGUAAAUAAUACUUUACCGUUUGACAGAAUACCAGGGUCGGCUUCACAAUGUCUUUCUAAAAUAAGGUUAAAUACGCGUGUUCAAAUACAUGUGUUUUAAGCAUUUUAAACUAAGGUUAUGUAGAAAUAUGGCUUUAAACAUUUUAUAGCGCCAAAUUUAACAACAAUUGGGUUUGAAAUCAGGUUUGCCUGGAACUUGAUAUCUCUCAUGACUUCAUUUCAAAACAUCGUUUAUAUCAAAGGCAUUUUACUGUAGGGUGCUAAUGUAAAAAUGUACAUAUGAUGCUGCGUGGACUUAGUUCAGUGGUAUAGGAUAUAGUAAAAGGGUUUGUUGAAAGUAGCACAUGGCUUAUUUUUUAUGUAAUGAGAUAUUAUUAUUUGCUUUUGUACAUCGGUACAUGUUUUUCAUAAUUGUACCCAUGAAAUUCUAUUUUAAAUUAUACUUUGUAUCAUGUGUUUUCGCAUGAGUACGUGGAAUAUUAGUUUUCGUAAUAAUUCAUUGAUUAACAUUUUGCUGACGAUUGUUACAUGGUCAUUUUCCGCAAUCGUACAUGUAUUUUUUUCUACUGUAUAAUGUUUUAAAGUUUGUGUAAUGGUAAGUCAAUCAUUAUUUGUCUUCAAGGUAGAUGUAUAUCUGUAUUAUACCUUCAAACCUGGAGGUUCUACCAACGAUCUCGAGUUGACAAAUGACUGGCGGCGGACACACCCCAUCGUAAUUAACGAAGUAGUCAACCGCUGCAAGAAAGCAUGAUUAUCUUACACGUGCUAUUUAUAUUAACUUGGAUUAUAUUAGUUCUAUUCGUGUUGCUUUGGUAUUUUUAAAUGUUUGGUAUUAGUUGUUUUUUAUUAGUAUUCCAUAGGUACAUACAAUCGUUUAUAUGAAAACAUAAAAAAUACUACACUA